rnacentral:rRNA from 1 species
GUGAUACUAUUUAACGGCCGCGGUACCCUAACCGUGCGAAGGUAGCAUAAUCACUUGUUCUUUAAAUGGGGACUCGUAUCAACGGCAUCACGAGGGUUAUACUGUCUCCUUUCCCUAAUCAGUGAAACUGAUCUCUCCGUGAAGAAGCGGAGAUAAAAAUAUAAGACGAGAAGACCCCAUGGAGCUUUAAACCCAGCAACUACCUUUGUUUAAACACACCCUCAUAAGCAACAAAGCCCUAAUUGUCUGGUUUUAGGUUGGGGUGACCGCGGAGUACAAAUCAACCUCCACGAUGAACGGGCUAGCCCCCUUAUCCAAGAGUCACACCUCUAAGAAUUAGUAAUCUAACAUAAACUGAUCCGACUAUCGAUCAACGAACUAAGUUACCCUGGGGAUAACAGCGCAAUCCACUUUAAGAGCUCCUAUCGACAAGUGGGUUUACGACCUCGAUGUUGGAUCAGGGUAUCCUAGUGGUGCAGCAGCUACUAAAGGUUCGUUUGUUCAACGAUUAAAACCCU